UGGGGAAUCUUGCGCAAUGCGCGAAAGCGUGACGCAGCAACGCCGCGUGGGGGAAGAAGGCCUUCGGGUUGUAAACCCUUUCAGGAGGGACGAAGGUGUGACGGUGAACAGCCGUUCGCACUGACGGUACCUUCACAAGAAGCCCCGGCUAACUACGUGCCAGCAGCCGCGGUAAUACGUAGGGGGCAAGCGUUGUCCGGAAUCAUUGGGCGUAAAGCGCGCGUAGGCGGCCCGGUAAGUCCGCUCUGAAAGUCCAGGGCUCAACCCUGGAAAGCGGGUGGAUACUGCCGGGCUAGAAUCCGGAAGAGGCGAGUGGAAUUCCUGGUGUAGCGGUGGAAUGCGCAGAUAUCAGGAGGAACACCAAUAGCGAAGGCAGCUCGCUGGGACGGUAUUGACGCUAAGGCGCGAAAGCGUGGGGAGCGAAACAGGAUUAGAUACCCUGGUAGUCCACGCCGUAAACGAUGGGUACUAGGUGUGGGAGGUGUCGACUCCUCCCGUGCCGACGCUAACGC
rnacentral:rRNA from 1 species